rnacentral:rRNA from 1 species
GAUGAACGCUGGCGGCGUGCCUAAUACAUGCAAGUCGAGCGAACGGACGAGAAGCUUGCUUCUCUGAUGUUAGCGGCGGACGGGUGAGUAACACGUGGAUAACCUACCUAUAAGACUGGGAUAAAUUCGGGAAACCGGAGCUAAUACCGGAUAAUAUUUUGAACCGCAUGGUUCAAAAGAGAAAGACGGUCUUGCUGUCACUUAUAGAUGGAUCCGCGCUGCAUUAGCUAGUUGGUAAGGUAACGGCUUACCAAGGCAACGAUGCAUAGCCGACCUGAGAGGGUGAUCGGCCACACUGGAACUGGGACACGGUCCAGACUCCUACGGGAGGCGGCAGUAGGGAAUCUUCCGCAAUGGGCGAAAGCCUGACGGAGCAACGCCGCGUGAGUGAUGAAGGUCUUCGGAUCGUAAAACUCUGUUAUUAGGGAAGAACAUAUGUGUAAGUAACUGUGCACAUCUUGACGGUACCUAAUCAGAAAGCCACGGCUAACUACGUG